CUGGCUCAGGAUGAACGCUAGCUACAGGCUUAACACAUGCAAGUCGAGGGGCAGCAUUGGGAUAGCUGCUAUUCAGAUGGCGACCGGCGCACGGGUGAGUAACGCGUAUCCAACCUCCUGCCAGUAGGGAACAGCCCGGCGAAAGUCGGAUUAAUGCCCUAUGUUCUUCAAUGCGGACAUCUAAGUUGAAGGAAAGAUUCAUCGCUGGCAGAUGGGGAUGCGUCCGAUUAGCUUGCCGGCGGGGUAACGGCCACCGGGGCGACGAUCGGUAGGGGUUCUGAGAGGAAGGUCCCCCACACUGGUACUGAGACACGGACCAGACUCCUACGGGAGGCAGCAGUGAGGAAUAUUGGUCAAUGGGCGUAAGCCUGAGCCAGCCAAGUAGCGUGCAAGGACGACGGCCCUACGGGUUGUAAACUGCUUUUAUGCGGGGAUAAAGUGCGGCACGUGUGCCGCUUUGCAGGUACCGCAUGAAUAAGGACCGGCUAAUUCCGUGCCAGCCGCAGC
rnacentral:rRNA from 1 species